ACACCGGCCGCUCAAGUGGUAGCCGCUUUUAUUGGGCCUAAAGCGUCCGUAGCCGGUCUGAUAAGUCUCUGGUGAAAUCCCACAGCUUAACUGUGGGAAUUGCUGGAGAUACUAUCAUGACUCGAGGUCGGGAGAGGCUGGAGGUACUCCCAGGGUAGGGGUGAAAUCCUGUAAUCCUGGGAGGACCACCUGUGGCGAAGGCGUCCAGCUGGAACGAACCUGACGGUGAGGGACGAAAGCCAGGGGCGCGAACCGGAUUAGAUUCCCGGGUAGUCCUGGCCGUAAACGAUGUGGACUUGGUGUUGGGAUGGCUUCGAGCUGCCCCAGUGCCGAAGGGAAGCUGUUAAGUCCACCGCCUGGGAAGUACGGCCGCAAGGCUGAAACUUAAAUGAAUUGGCGGG
rnacentral:rRNA from 1 species